GCCCUAGUGGCGGAACUGGCAGGCGCACAGGACUUCAAUUCCUGCGGGACUUACCGCUCGUACCGGUUCGAUUCCGGUCUUCGGCA
rnacentral:tRNA from 1 species